CUUCAACGAUCCGAGCCACAAGGGCUGUUCGGCGGGCCGCCCCUGUCCGUACGUCGCGAGCAGCGCCUGCGCCUC
rnacentral:antisense_RNA from 1 species